rnacentral:ncRNA from 1 species
UGAUAGAGGCGCGGCUGCUAAAAGUAACUCUCUGUGUUGCAGGCCUAAAAGAGAGCAAAAGGAGCAUCCGCCGAGGUUUUUCGCCCCUGCCUGAAGGCGUAAAAUCGGGACGUCGGAGAAUAUCCGCCGUACUGUCGCAGAACUUUUUUCUGCGGAGUGCUAUCA